GCAUCAAAUUAAAUAAGAGCCUUGUUGAGGCUCUUGAGCUGCUUUUGUAGACACGUACACAGAACUGGAUCAAGACCUGCUUUAGAAGCAACACGUUGGCCUGUGAGAGAGUAUGUAAAAAAUGUUCCUCCAAGAAGCUACAGUCUAAAGAAGAAAAAUACUCAGAUAUCAUCUCGCAGAUCUUUUAUUGUGCUCUAAAUAAAUGGGUUGCUGUUAUAGUGUAGACACGAGUGAAAUGGCCUUCAUUUCUAAAUCAGCAGACUGCUGCUACAUUCUGCAGUGGCUGAAUUUCCUGGGUGGUCUUUAAGAAUCGCCCCAGGAGGUAGGCACUGUCAUAGUCUAAUCCAGAUGUUACAAAGGCACCUGCACACAUCCCAAAUCAAGAGUGCCAAAACUAAAUGAUCCUUGAAAGCUGGGAAACAGCGAGGACCUUUUGAAAAUCAUAGUAAGGAAGACUGAUUAAAAGAGAGAUUUUAUAAUUCCAAGGACACAUUCAUCAUAUACUGCAAAUAUUACAGCAGAAGGGAUUGACAUCAUGGUA